GACCCCUGUACUGGGGCAAAACACAACGCUGGCUGGAAAUCUUACACAAGUGGUGCAGCAAGAAUGAACUCACAGUUCUGACUGUGAUUUCACAAAUGUUUGUUUGUUGUUCUCUAUCCCAGAGAGCUGUGUUUAGCAAUCCAUGGAACAGCACACCAGGACUUCAACAAGAUGGUGUGAUAGUGGCUGGGGGUUUCAUUUGAGAAACAGAAGCUGUGGUGUAGAACUCUUUAGCCAGAAGUUUCAGCAUAAUUGUCUUUCCUCUUAAAAAUGCUAGUCUGGCAGCAUCCCUUGCCUUGCCAGCAGCAGUUUACAAAGGCCAGACCAGGAUUAAAAGACUUAGCUUCACAUUCCUAAAAGCAGUGCAAAACUUUCCACCCAAAUUAGCUGGCAACUCCUCUUUGGAUAUCACGAACACAAAAACAUGUUGUAAAAGAUGAAUCAUCUCUGGAUAACUCAGAUAUCUUACCCUAAGGACUGCAUCACUGUCCCUUGUUUUCAUGACUUGCACUGCUGUAGACUCUGAGAAACCUACUCAUGAAGGACUGAGAUCCACAAGACUGGAGUCGAGAUGCCGCUUCAGGUGUGAUCCAGUCCCUCAGGCACCCAGCACGAGGCAGGCAGGAAUGCCUUACAGUGAGUUUGGAACCCACCUGCACACCAAGCAGGGAGCACCUGAGAGCUGCCCCUUAGGAAACACUUGGGCACAGGAUGGGUCUGUAACUCUAUCCUGACAACAUCCUGCAGAAGAGACAUGUAAUA